AACGUAGGAGGCUAGCGUUAUCCGGAUUUACUGGGCGUAAAGCGCGUGCAGGUGGUCUUGCAAGUUGGAUGUGAAAGCUCCUGGCUUAACUGGGAGAGGUCGUUCAAAACUGCAAGACUUGAGAUUGGUAGAGGGAGGUGGAAUUCCGGGUGUAGUGGUGAAAUGCGUAGAUAUCCGGAGGAACACCAGUGGCGAAAGCGGCCUCCUGGACCAAUUCUGACACUCAGACGCGAAAGCUAAGGUAGCAAACGGG
rnacentral:rRNA from 1 species